rnacentral:rRNA from 1 species
CCUCUGGCUAUAGGAAAUUGUUAGUGGCAGACGGGUGAGUAAUGCGUAGGAAUCUACCUAGCAGUACGGAAUAGCCAUUAGAAAUGGUGGGUAAUACUGUAUAAUCCCCGAGGGGGAAAGAUUUAUCGCUAUUAGAUGAGCCUACGUUAGAUUAGCUAGUUGGUGAGGUAAUGGCUUACCAAGGCUAUGAUCUAUAGCUGGUCUGAGAGGACGAUCAGCCACACUGGAACUGAGAUACGGUCCAGACUCCUACGGGAGGCAGCAGUGGGGAAUAUUGGACAAUGGGCGAAAGCCUGAUCUAGCUAUGCCGCGUGAGCGAAGAAGGCCUUCGGGUUGUAAAACUCUUUCAAUAGGGAAGAUAAUG